rnacentral:lncRNA from 1 species
ACAUUUCGAUUAUUUUAAUUUUUAAUUUAUUAUAAUUUUUUAUUUUUAUUUUAUAAUUUAUUUUAAUUAAAUUUUAUAAUUUAAUUUAGUUGAUUAAAUUUUACAGUCUAAUUUAGUUGAAAUUCAAAAUUCAAAAUUCAAAAUUCAAAAUUUAAAAUUUAAAAUUUAAAAUUUUAAAAUUAAAGUUUGAAAAUUAAAAUUUAAAACUUAAAAUUUGAUAAUUCAAAAUUUUAAAUUAAAAUUUUAAAAAUGACAUGUUGGAAGAGUUUAGGGGGCAGGAGGGAUGACCUUAUAAUUUUCUACUAGUGUAGAGACCCGCGCGAUGCAGCGGGUAAAUAAUAGAAGCAAAAUUUAAAAAUUUUAAUAAAAUAUAUAUAUACAGCUUAUUGAUAUAUAGGAAAUUAUACCAUGUUAAGCACAGCUAAUUUGCCUGACUAAAUUCAAUUGUUAAAAAAAUUAAAAUUAUAGCUAGAACUUACUCAUUGAUAAAAUAUUAAUAUGGUGCAUGUAAUUAAAUGUUGCACUUUGCACGUAAUUAGAGAAGUUGGAAGGUGAAGGGUUGGGCGUUAAGAAGAGGAGAAAGUUGUUUGAUUUAAAGUUGGACUAUGAAAAUCAAAGGUAAUAUAUCAUAUAGCAAAGAAAUUUUAUGAUGCAUAUAAAAGAGUUAUAAAAGAGAGGGUGUAGGAGAUUAAUGAAGAAGGGGAGUGAAUUAAAGUUAUAAAACUCACUCAUUAGGGCGCGUUUGGUUUGCGCUAUCUUUUUAAGAUUCCUAGUAAUUCGAUAAGAAUAAAAAAAUAUGACGGUGUUUGGCUAAACGCACUAAGUAAUCUAGUUGGUAAUAUUAGAUUUACUUGAGAAUGGGAUUCAUCCCAAAGUACUAAUCUCAUCCCCUUAAGGGAGGGUGGGUAUCCUCAUAUUAAUGGAUUGGAGUAAUCAUAAUAUGUUUAAUCUCUUUCUUUCUCUCUAUCCGUCGGCUAGUUGGUAUUAUAUUUCUUUACACUCUAACCUCAUAUCUCUCUCUAAACUUAUUUUUUUCUCUCUAAACUUCAACUCUUUUUCUUUCUCUAAACUAAGCUCUCUCUCCCCCUCUUUUUCUAAAAUCUCAACUCUCUCACUCUUUCUAAUCUCGACUCAAUUUCUCUUCUUAUUUCUUUAAGAUUAUGCUCUCUCUCUCUAACCUAUAUUCUCUCUCUCCUUUUUUUCUAAAAAAAUAUUGAAAUUUUUGGUGGUAUUAUCUAAAAUUAAUUAUAAAUAAAUAAAUAAAUAAAUUGUAUAUAUUUUUUGUAAACUUAAAUAACGUGACUAAAUAAUAUAACCGUACGAACCAAACACAGGAAUGCCACAUUCUUAGUAAUAGGAUGAAUAGGAAUAAAAUUCUCAGACAUCUUUUUAUUACUAGUAAUCUUUCAUAGUGCGAACCAAACGCACCCAAAUAUUAAUAUGGUGCAUGUAAUUAAAUGUUGCACCUUGCAUAUAAUUAGAGAAGUGGGGAUGUGAAGGGUUGGGCGUUGAGAAGAGGAGAAAAUGGAUUGAUUUAAAGUUGGGUUAUGAGAAUGAAAGAUAACAUGCCAUGUGGCAAAAAAUACUGUGGCUUCAUAUAGGUUUAUAGAUAAUAUACAAAAUAAUCCACCAACAGUAAUACGAGAUUUCCAACUCCCGCUCGUACACCAUUCGUAAUGUUACAUCGCCGACUAGAUUACAGACGGGAUGAACCAAACUUAGUAAUCCUGACAGGAUUAUUUGUAAUCCUGGCAGGAUGAUCCGAAUCAAACACACCCUAAAGGUUUCCAAAAUCAAUAAAUUU